rnacentral:rRNA from 1 species
UACGUAGGGUGCAAGCGUUAAUCGGAAUUACUGGGCGUAAAGGGUCCGUAGGCGGUGUGGUAAGUCGAUAGUGAAAUCUCUGGGCUUAACCCAGAGGCUGCUAACGAAACUACCAUGCUAGAGUGUGAGAGAGGCGAGUGGAAUUACGGGUGUAGCGGUGAAAUGCGUAGAUAUCCGUAGGAACAUCCGAGGCGAAAGCGGCUCGCUGGAUCGCAACUGACGCUG